AGAGUUUGAUCUUGGCUCAGAUUGACGCUGGCGGCAGGCUUAACACAUGCAAGUCGAACGGUAACAGGGAGAAAGCUUGCUUUCUUUGCUGACGAGUGGCGGACGGGUGAGUAAUGCUUGGGAAUCUGGCUUAUGGAGGGGGAUAACUACGGGAAACUGUAGCUAAUACCGCGUAAUAUCUUCGGAUUAAAGGGUGGGACCGUAAGGCCACCUGCCGUAAGAUGAGCCCAAGUGGGAUUAGGUAGUUGGUGGGGUAAAGGCCUACCAAGCCGACGAUCUCUAGCUGGUCUGAGAGGAUGACCAGCCACACUGGAACUGAGACACGGUCCAGACUCCUACGGGAGGCAGCAGUGGGGAAUAUUGCACAAUGGGGGGAACCCUGAUGCAGCCAUGCCGCGUGAAUGAAGAAGGCCUUCGGGUUGUAAAGUUCUUUCGGUGAUGAGGAAGGCGGUUGUUUUAAUAGAACAAUCGAUUGACGUUAGUCACAGAAGAAGCACCGGCUAACUCCGUGCCAGCAGCCGCGGUAAUACGGAGGGUGCGAGCGUUAAUCGGAAUGACUGGGCGUAAAGGGCACGCAGGCGGUGACUUAAGUGAGAUGUGAAAGCCCCGGGCUUAACCUGGGAAUUGCAUUUCAUACUGGGUUGCUAGAGUAUUUUAGGGAGGGGUAGAAUUCCACGUGUAGCGGUGAAACGCGUAGAGAUGUGGAGGAAUACCGAAGGCGAAGGCAGCCCCUUGGGAAUAUACUGACGCUCAUGUGCGAAAGCGUGGGGAGCAAACAGGAUUAGAUACCCUGGUAGUCCACGCUGUAAACGCUGUCGAUUUGGGGAUUGGGCUUUGAGCUUGGUGCCCGUAGCUAACGUGAUAAA
rnacentral:rRNA from 1 species